UACGUAGGGUGCAAGCGUUGUCCGGAAUUAUUGGGCGUAAAGAGCUUGUAGGCGGUUUGUCGCGUCUGCUGUGAAAUUUCGGGGCUCAACCCCGAACUUGCAGUGGGUACGGGCAGACUAGAGUGUGGUAGGGGAGACUGGAAUUCCUGGUGUAGCGGUGAAAUGCGCAGAUAUCAGGAGGAACACCGAUGGCGAAGGCGAGUCCCUGGACAACACCUGACACUGAGGCACGAAAGCUAGGGGAGCAAACAGG
rnacentral:rRNA from 1 species